UACGGAGGGUGCAAGCGUUAAUCGGAAUUACUGGGCGUAAAGCGCACGCAGGUGGCUGAGAAAGUCGAUUGUGAAAGCCCUGGGCUUAACCUGGGAAUUGCAGUCGAAACUACUCGGCUAGAGUAUGGGAGAGGACAGUGGAAUUCCCGGCGUAGCGGUGAAAUGCGUAGAUAUCGGGAGGAACAUCAGUGGCGAAGGCGGCUGUCUGGCCCAAUACUGACACUCAGGUGCGACAGCGUGGGGAGCAAACAGG
rnacentral:rRNA from 1 species